GAAAUCUAUACCUAGCUAUGACCCCGACGCACCAGUAGCGUCUGUCGAUGUGGUGUCGGUGGUGCUGGUGGGCUACUGACGACGCUUGGUGCUAACAGGCUAUGCCACUAAUGAAGUUGAUGACGCAGGCUCCAUGGGACCCCCCGAGACCAAUUGGCAAGUGGUCCAUCAGUGCUAGAGCAGUGGCAGCAGAUGACGACUGAGUCAGGAGAGGGGAACUUUGUGCAGUCAUCACCGCCUUACGACUUCUACUAAGGUUUG
rnacentral:lncRNA from 1 species